rnacentral:rRNA from 1 species
GACGAACGCGGCGGCGUGCCUAAUACAUGCAAGUUGAGCGCUGAAGGUUGGUACUUGUACCAACUGGAUGAGCAGCGAACGGGUGAGUAACGCGUGGGGAAUCUGCCUUUGAGCGGGGGACAACAUUUGGAAACGAAUGCUAAUACCGCAUAAAAACUUUAAACACAAGUUUUAAGUUUGAAAGAUGCAAUUGCAUCACUCAAAGAUGAUCCCGCGUUGUAUUAGCUAGUUGGUGAGGUAAAGGCUCACCAAGGCGAUGAUACAUAGCCGACCUGAGAGGGUGAUCGGCCACAUUGGGACUGAGACACGGCCCAAACUCCUACGGGAGGCAGCAGUAGGGAAUCUUCGGCAAUGGACGAAAGUCUGACCGAGCAACGCCGCGUGAGUGAAGAAGGUUUUCGGAUCGUAAAACUCUGUUGGUAGAGAAGAACGUUGGUGAGAGUGGAAAGCUCAUUC